GCCGGAGGAGGCAAGCGUUAUCCGGAAUUAUUGGGCGUAAAGGGUACGUAGGCGGCUGGUCAAGUCUGGGGUCAAAGGCCACAGCUCAACUGUGGGAAGGCCCUGGAAACUGACCGGCUAGAGUGAGGUAGGGGUUGCGGGGAUUCCCGGUGUAGCGGUGAAAUGCGUAGAGAUCGGGAAGAACACCUGAGGCGGAAGCGCGCAACUGGGCCUCAACUGACGCUGAGGUACGAAAGCUAGGGGAGGGAGUGGG
rnacentral:rRNA from 1 species